rnacentral:rRNA from 1 species
AAACUUAAAGGAAUUGACGGGGGCCCGCACAAGCAGUGGAGUAUGUGGUUUAAUUCGAAGCAACGCGAAGAACCUUACCAGGUCUUGACAUCCUAGGAACGGCUAAGAGAUUAGCUGGUGCCUUUCGGGGAAUCUAGAGACAGGUGGUGCAUGGUUGUCGUCAGCUCGUGUCGUGAGAUGUUGGGUUAAGUCCCGCAACGAGCGCAACCCUUGUGAUUAGUUGCUACAUUUAGUUGAGCACUCUAAUCAGACUGCCGUUGACAAAACGGAGGAAGGUGGGGACGACGUCAAAUCAUCAUGCCCUUUAUGACCUGGGCUACACACGUACUACAAUGGUCGCUAACAGAGGGAUGCAAUGCCGCGAGGUGGAGCAAAACCCUAAAAGCGAUCUCAGUUCGGAUUGUAGGCUGCAACUCGCCUACAUGAAGUUGGAAUUGCUAGUAAUCGCGGAUCAGCAUGCCGCGGUGAAUACGUUCCCGGGCCUUGUACACACCGCCCGUCACACCAUGGGAGCCGGUAAUACCCGAAGUCAGUAGUCUAACCGCAAGGAGGACGCUGCCGAAGGUAGGAUUGGCGACUGGGGUGAAGUCGUAACAAGGUAGCCGUAUCGGAAGGUGCGGCUGGAUCACCUCCUUUAU